UUUGCUCCUCGAGGCGUUGCAGCACAGCUAGAUGUGCCGUGUCUGUGUCAUGAGGCAGCAUAGAGCAGAAGGGCGCCAUAAAUUACUUUGUACACAUCACUCCACAAUGCAAAGAAUGAGUGCCAGCCCUUACAAA